CAGCCGUAAACUAUGCGCGUUAGGUGUACUGGUGACCACGAGUCACCGGGUGCCGAAGGGAAACCGUGAAACGUGCCGCCUGGGAAGUACGGUCGCAAGGCUGAAACUUAAAGGAAUUGGCGGGGGAGCACCGACAACGGGUGGAGCCUGCGGUUUAAUUGGACUCAACGCCGGAAAUCUCACCGGAUAGGACAGACAUAUGAUAGUCGGGCUGAAGACUCUACUUGAUGAUCUGAGAGGAGGUGCAUGGCGUAGUCGUGU
rnacentral:rRNA from 1 species